UACGAAGGGGGCUAGCGUUGCUCGGAAUCACUGGGCGUAAAGCGCACGUAGGCGGCUCUUUAAGUCAGGGGUGAAAUCCCGGAGCUCAACUCCGGAACUGCCUUUGAUACUGGAGAGCUUGAGUCCGGGAGAGGUGAGUGGAACUGCGAGUGUAGAGGUGAAAUUCGUAGAUAUUCGCAAGAACACCAGUGGCGAAGGCGGCUCACUGGCCCGGUGCUGACGCUGAGGUGCGAAAGCGUGGGGAGCAAGCAGG
rnacentral:rRNA from 1 species